UUUGUCUAAUGAUGACAGGUUCAUGCACCACGCAUAAUGUAUUGUGCUGAUUAUGACUUUCUGAAGAUCA